rnacentral:tRNA from 1 species
UAGCUCAGUUGGUAGAGUACUUGCUUCCAAAGCAAGUUGUCACGGGUUCGAAUCCCGU